AACUUAAAGUUUGGGAAACAGUAGAUCUUGAACAUCUAUACUGGGUGUUCAACUCACCAUUAA
rnacentral:tRNA from 1 species